AUCCCUUCUAUAAUCUGCUGGCAGCAAAAUUGCAGGAAGUGUUGCGACAGCUACUGCAAUUACUUCUUCGUUGGGAGCGGAUUAUACUGGAUGGAGUGCCGAAAAUAAGUUUUAUCGAUAUCGAUAUAGGAAAAAACUUUGUUAUGGAUCUUCGUAAGAAUCGAUGUUGUUGCUUCAGUGACACUCAGCAUUCUUCCUACGCCUCGGGAGUUUAUACUCUCAUCUUAUCUGCAUGUGGAAUUGCUUAUUUAGCUAGUACAAUUGCCUAUACUCCCAAUAGUCUACAUCAUGAAAUAGGUAAUCAUUUUGAAUGUAAGUAUAUGGAAAAUGCUAACCUUAACAGGACUUUAUAAUCUUAUAAUGAUUGUAAUGAUGUCUUCUGUUGUUGCAGAUAAAACUGGU
rnacentral:lncRNA from 1 species